ACAAAACACAGGGGACGACCAAGAAACCCCCAUCAAACCCUAGCUCAUCUAAAUUGCUCAAAUUGAAGACCAAAUUCGGAUCCAAAUCGAAAAUCAAGCAUAGAAUAGUGAUCCUCACCACAAGGGGGUUACAAGGAAAAGAUACCGGAGCGUCGAGUGGACAAGCCGGUGGCGAUUCGCGUUGAAGGGCGUGCACUAAAGCAAAUGCAGGUCACAGAACCGAACCUGCUGGAAAAACGUUCCUCCCGCGCCACGCGGCAGGAUUCUUCAGUUGUUCCGCGACACGCGACAACUGCCGUGAUACGCGACAGAUGGAAUGGGGAUCUUACGGAUGACGAUCAAGCAAGUUUUUGAAGAACCGAACACACUUUUGAAGCUUCCGCGUUAUCUAACUUUAAUAGACAAUAUUUUUGGGAUGUAAACAAGUUGCUAACAACUUAUGAAUAGUUGAAUUAGUCGGUUGUUGACUAAUGUUCUGUUACUUUGGAUCUUAUGUUUUAAUUGGACGUCUUUAAAAAAAAUC